GAAAAAAGUGACAUUUUAUGUCUAGAAAGUCAGUUUUCAUCAAAAGUACAAUAACAAAUCGAGUUCCAUUCAUCCUGUGUCUGCAUGCACACUUGUGCUCUUUAUCCGCUCAAAACGCUAUAGAGCGAACGAGAAGGCGCUAGGAGCAAAGGAAAGUGGUUUUUCGAACAAACUCAUAUAAUCAGUGGCCCGACCUACUCCAAUUUGAUUUUUUUCACAUAGUUAGACAUAAUAUAGUACUAUGAAAUGUUUCUGACCCAAAAUAUUACGAAAUAUGAUUGUUUACAUUAAAAUGCAAAAGUUGAUGAAAAAGUAUGAUAAGGUGAAAAAAGUGACAUUUUAUGUCUAGAAAGUCAGUUUUCAUCAAAAGUACAAUAACAAAAGUAGUUCGCUUUCAUCCUGUGUCUCCUUACACACUUGUGCUCUUUAUCCGCUCUAAACGCUAUAGAGCCAACGAGAAGGCGCUAGGAGCAAAGGAAAGUGGUUUUUCGAACAAACUCAUAUAAUCAGUUGCCCGACCUACUCCAAUUUGAUUUUUUUCACAUAGUUAGACAUAAUAUAGUACUAUGAAAUGUUUCUGACCCAAAAUAUUACGAAAUAUGAUUGUUUACAUUAAAAUGCAAAAGUUGAUGAAAAAGUAUGAUAAGGUGAAAAAAUGACAUUUUAUGUCUAGAAAGUCAGUUUUCAUCAAAAGUACAAUAACAAAUCGAGUUCCCAUUCAUCCUGUGUCUCCUUACACACUUAUGCUCUUUAUCCGCUCAAAACGCUAUAGAGCGAACGAGAAGGCGCUAGGAGCAAAGGAAAGUGGUUUUUCGAACAAACUCAUAUAAUCAGUGGCCCGACCUACUCCAAUUUGAUUUUUUUUCACAUAGUUAGACAUAAUAUAGUACUAUGAAAUGUUUCUGACCCAAAAUAUUACGAAAUAUGAUUGUUUACAUUAAAAUGCAAAAGUUGAUGAAAAAUAUGAUAAGGUGAAAAAAGUGACAUUUUAUGUCUAGAAAGUCAGUUUUCAUCAAAAGUACAAUAACAAAAGUAGUUCGCAUUCAGCCUGUGUCUCCUUACACACUUGUGCUCUUUAUCCGCUCUAAACGCUAUACAGCCAACGAGAAGGCGCUAGGAGCAAAGGAAAGUGGUUUUUCGAACAAACUCAUAUAAUUAGUUGCCCGACCUACUCCAAUUUGAUUCUUUUCACAUAAUUAGACAUAAUAUAGUACUAUGAAAUGUUUCUGACCCAAAAUAUUACGAAAUAUGAUUGUUUACAUUAAAAUGCAAAAGUUGAUGAAAAAGUAUGAUAAG
ensembl:lncRNA